GGACGAGAUCGCGGCCGUCAUGAGUUUUGUCGACGCCCUGCAAUUCAAGCAGACUCGAUUACAAUGUUUGCCGCCGACGUCACGCAUGUCACGUGGUUAUUUGUACUUCAGUCUGGUUGGAUUGUAGGCCUCCGCAAGGCUUCAUGACUCACUCAACUGCUG
rnacentral:pre_miRNA from 1 species